rnacentral:tRNA from 1 species
CCUUCGAUAGCUCAGUUAGUGGAGCGGAGGACUGUAGGUUAAAUAACAGUGGUCCUUAGGUCGCUGGUUCAAAUCCGGCUCGAAGGA